rnacentral:rRNA from 1 species
CUUGGUCAUUUAGAGGAAGUAAAAGUCGUAACAAGGUUUCCGUAGGUGAACCUGCGGAAGGAUCAUUACAAGUGAGGCUACCGAACGUUGGAAACAGCGGUUAGGAGCUUACACCCACCCGUGUUUACAUACUAUUGUUGCUUUGGCGGGCCGUGGCCUCCACUGCGGGCUCUGCUCGUGUGUGCCCGCCAGAGAACCAAACUCUGAAUGUUAGUGAUGUCUGAGUACUAUCUAAUAGUUAAAACUUUCAACAACGGAUCUCUUGGUUCUGGCAUCGAUGAAGAACGCAGCGAAAUGCGAUAAGUAAUGUGAAUUGCAGAAUUCAGUGAAUCAUCGAAUCUUUGAACGCACAUUGCGCCCUGUGGUAUUCCGCAGGGCAUGCCUGUUCGAGCGUCAUUUAACCACUCACGCCUAGCGUGGUAUUGGGGCACGCGGUCUCCGCGGCCCUCAAAAUUAGUGGCGGCGCCGGUGGGCUCUAAGCGUAGUACAUACUCCCGCUAUAGAGUUCCCCCCGGUGGCUCGCCAGAACCCCCAAUUUUUUACAGGUUGACCUCGGAUCAGGUAGGGAUACCCGCUGAACUUAAGCAUAUCAAUAAGCGGAGGA